GUUUUACAGUCGCAACAGCAGCAACGAAAGUGUGUAACCAUGGUAACUUAGCGGCAUUGUGGGUAGUUUGGUCAACGGAUUGUUGUUAUGUAGCAGCGUCAUCUUUUGAGUCUGCUGCUGGUUAAUGCCAUGGAUGUAUAAAGAGAAAGAGGUUAAUGCGGCAAUAAAUCUCCAUUUGCAACUUAUUUAGAUGAACAGAGUAACUGCAUAAAUGGCUCCUAAAAGAAAAUUUGGGAGUGGCACUCAAGGGCGAAAGAAGAGAAAAUUGGAGAUGGAAAAAUAACACAGACCAAGUGAAAGUGAGCCCUGACUGACGUUUGCUUUGUCUUUCAAGGCGUGGUCCCCUGAUCCCAGUCCUGACAAAGACCUGCCAAAGAGCUACUUCUGUUCCCCCAGGCUGACAAGCCAAUCCAUCUUUGCCUGCAGAGUAACUUUACUACGUUUGUCAUCAUACCGCCCUCUAUCAA